AUUGAACUCUGGCGGCCGGCUUAACACAUGCAAGUCGAGCGAGCGGCGGACGGGUGAGUAAUGUCUGGGAAACUGCCUGAUGGAGGGGGAUAACUACUGGAAACGGUAGCUAAUACCGCAUACCAUCAGAUGUGCCCAGAUGGGAUUAGCUAGUAGGUGGGGUAAGGGCUUACCUAGGCGACGAUCCCUAGCUGGUCGGAGAGGAUGAACAGCCACACUGUAACUGAGACACGGGCCAGACUCCUACGGUAGGCAGCAGUGGGGAAUAUUGCACAAUGGGCGCAAGCCUGAUGCAGCCAUGCCGCGUGUGUGAAGAAGGCCUUCGGGUUGUAAAGCACUUUCAGCGAGGAGGCGUUAUUCGCAGAAGAAGCACCGGCUAACUGCGUGACAGCAGCCGCGGUAAUAC
rnacentral:rRNA from 1 species